UAAAUACUAAAUAAAAAACUUCUAAUUAGAAAAAAGGUAUCCUUUCUUCAACACGACGCACUUCGAACUUCAAAUUUACACUCGGAUCCAUUUUCCCUUUCAAUUUCAAAACCUCAAAUUCAAUCGAACAAUAACCCAAAACCUGGCUCCACACAUCUGGAAACGCCUAUUCCCACCAAGAACCAGAAUUAGACAAUUCCCUAUAAUCCCAAACAUCACUAUACGACGCCGCUUCUAUCCCAAAAUGAGUAUCAACGUUUUCAAAUUAUGCUCUGGCCUUAAAGUCCUUGGCUACUUAAUGAUCCUUCUCGUCGCCGGAAUCGUCGCCCUUUCUUACUACGCCGUCGUUAUUAUUACAUGGGGCCCACAGUUACUUCGCGGUGGCGGUCACUCCUUUUUAGCUUUUUCAUUGAUUAUACUGUUUCACAUUCUGCUUGUCAUGUUACUUUGGAGCUAUUUUAGAGUAGUAUUUAAGGACCCGGGUUCUGUACCCGAGAACUGGAGGCAAGAGAAUUUGGAGGGAGGCGGUAGUUGCAUCAACGAGUCAGACUGUGGGGCGCCUGAGGCGUCGGGUUCGGCAUCAGUAUGGGCUGCUUCUGAAGGGUCGGAUAGGUUAGCGGCUUCGGGUUAUUGUACUCACUGCAAGAACGGCAAGCCGCCACGUUGUCAUCAUUGUUCUGUUUGUCAAAGAUGUGUUCUUAAGAUGGAUCAUCAUUGUGUUUGGGUGGUAAAUUGUGUUGGAGCUCGUAACUACAAGUUUUUUCUUCUUUUCCUGCUUUACACAUUUCUGGAGACAACAAUGGAUACUCUAGUACUCUUGCCUAGUUUUAUCAAGUUCUUUGAUGAAGCCAAGGAUCAUUCUACCUCCCCUAGCAAGUUAGCAGUAAUUUUUAUGGCUUUUGUUCUUAAUUUGGCUUUUGCCCUCAGUCUUCUUUGUUUCAUAGUUAUGCACGCAUCUCUUCUGUCCAGCAACACCACAUCCGUAGAGGUAUAUGAGAAGAAAGGAGCAGUUGCGUGGAAGUAUGAUCUAGGCAGGAAGAAGAAUUUUGAACAGGUAUUUGGUAAGAAGAAGGCAUUUUGGUUGCUUCCUAUGUUCUCCAAGGAGGAUGUAGACAAUAUUCCUGCACUUCAUGGCAUAGAUUUUCCUACACGCUCUGAUGUUGAGGCUUGAAUCUUGGUGACCAUGCAAAACUCUCAUUUUAUUUGUCGCAAUUUGCAGUUAUGUAUCCUUGGAACAUUCUUUCACUAUUUGGUUAACAGAGAGUGGACAUCUUAAAAGGAGCCAAAUAGUUACAGUUAUCAAAGAGAACUUGCGUCAUUGGAUGACAAACUGAUUGAUUAACUAUUUCAGUGACAUGACGUUACAAAACUUAACUGUAUUUGCUUUUUCCGGAUUGGACGGCUAUUUUUGUGCCAUUAUCAACUUAUGUGGUCUCUAUCAGUGAAGAAUAUGCAAUGGCAAUGCACUAUGUUGUAAUCCUAAACUCAUAUCCAUUUGCGCAAUUUUUGCUGGGCAACUGAUAAAA